CUGGCUCCUCCCUGCGGGCGCCCUUGGGUCGGGGACCCGCCCCGGGGGAGCGCUGCCGGGGCGCCGGAAACCUCCUGAAGGCCACUGCGCCUUUGAAGCGCUGGGCCUCCUCUGGUCCUUGUUUCAGUCCCCGGACCUGCCUCCAGAAUACCAUGCGUACGUGCUCUGCCGGCAACAGGCCUGUCAGAAGACCAGAUCUCUUUAGUUGAGCACCGUUUUAACCCAAGGUGGCAGCACCACAUUGGGAGUUCUCCACGGCACCCACUAAUGUAGGGGGACGCUGAACCGCGGAGGAGAGGUUGCCGGGCUAGACAGCAAAGAAGUGGCAGGAGUUCUGGUCUCAGUUUUUAGAGAAAACAGACUUCCCAUUUCAGUCCUGAAAUCCUUCACGGCUCAUCCCUCAGAGCCUCGUGAGAUGAGCACUGCAGAAAAAUACUACGCGGGCCGGCCCAGUGGCGCAGCAGUUAAGUUCGCACAGUCCCCUUCAGCAGCCCAGGGUUCGCCAGCCUGGAUCCCGGGCGUGGACCUAUGCACUGCAUGUCAAGCCAUGCUGUGGCAGGCAUCCCACAUAUAAAGUAGAGGAAGAUGGGCACGGAUCUUAGCUCAGGGCCAGUCUUCCUCAGCAAAAAGAGGAGAAUUGGC
rnacentral:lncRNA from 1 species